CUCUCUUCUCCAGAUAUGAUUUGGUUAGAGGAUGAGUCAGAUAGAUAUAUUAAGAGAAUCUUAAAUACAUGUGUCCAUAAUUCACUCUUUAAAUCCAGGAACAGGAAACUCAGGAAUGAAAUAGAUUAAGAGAAUCAAAGAUACUUGUAUUCAAGAUUAGCAAGUAGGAGUGUCUUCAAAAGAAAAGGUGAUUAUCUAUAAUUCAGGGAUUAAAUGUGAUAAUGAACGUACAAAGACAACAUGAAGUAGAAAAUGCCACGUGGGAAGCACUGAGUAAAGGGCAAUUUACCAUGAUUAUGCCAAUAUGUGUGGUCAAUUCCCAAGCAAAUUAUUGUGUAACCCCUGCUAGAGGGAGAAAGCUUCCAGCCUUGGCUGGAGAGUGGGGAGGAUCCAGUGUCUGUAUUUUUUAAAAUGUCUACAGGUGUUUCUCAUGUGCAAAUUGGUAUCCCUGCAUGAGAACCAUAAACCAACAGAAAACCCAAAAGACCGAGGACAAUGAUGGGUUGCCGACAGCCCAAGCUUUUCUGCCACAGAAGAGUGGUUCCAGUCAGGAAGACUGAGCAAGAGGCUCAGAGUCUUAGCUAAGGACAAGCAAGUCGGGACUUCUAAUACGACCUAAUGUCAUCGACGGGGGAGGGCAGUUCAGCACAAGAAGGGAGCACCAGAUGGGUCAUGAAUCUAAUGAUGCCACAGUUUCGGGAGCAGAACAGACCACCCCACGAUGGGAAUGGGACAACCAUCUGUAUCCAACGGGCAAACUGGGGUUAUUUUAUGAAUACCCUGAAAUGAGAGUAAAAGAAUUUAUGUUGUCCUUCCAUCCAUCCACCACUCCAUGUUUUGUGUCCAUUCCUUCAACAGGUAUUCAGUUUGGGUUCACCACAGUAUAUGUGGCCUCUUUCUAGUGGCCCCUCUGUUGGCUCUGGAGAACAAUAUAUUGGAAAUCAGAGUGGGUACGUGGAACCUUGACUACCCAGUAUAGACGCAUUGUGCCAGAAAAAGCCCAGAACAUCGCAGCAUGGCAGCCCACCAUGCAAGGAACAGCAAUUCUGGCUUUGGUGGACCAAUGUGAAUAAAAAGGCUUCAUUGGGUGAAGACUUAGAAAAGUCCAAAAAUGCAUUGGCGUUGUUUCCUAAGGAAUCUAGUGUUGGGUAAUGUUUAAUAUGAGAGGGAGAUGCUAACACUAUCAUCGUUAUAAACAACAUAGUUGUUGUAACUGUAAUUGUUAUUAUUUUUAAUAUAUUUUCUUUAUAAUUAUUAUUUGUGACUUACAAGACCCUUACAGAGGCAGUUGUUAAGGAGCGUGGCCGUUAUACUGUUGCUGAAGUGUUAAUUCAGUAGAAGCAUGGUAAUAGCAUUAAUAAGUACUCUUUUG